rnacentral:rRNA from 1 species
AUUGAACGCUGGCGGCAGGCCUAACACAUGCAAGUCGAGCGAGUGGCGGACGGGUGAGUAAUGUAUGGGAAACUGCCCGAUGGAGGGGGAUAACUACUGGAAACGGUAGCUAAUACCGCAUACCAUCAGAUGUACCCAGAUGGGAUUAGCUAGUGGGUGGGGUAACGGCUCACCAAGGCGACGAUCCCUAGCUGGUCUGAGAGGAUGACCAGCCACACUGGGACUGGGACACGGUCCAGACUCCUACGGGAGGCAGCAGUGGGGAAUAUUGCACAAUGGGCGCAAGCCUGAUGCAGCCAUGCCGCGUGUAUGAAGAAGGCCUUCGGGUUGUAAAGUACUUUCAGCGGGGAGGCGUUACCCGCAGAAGAAGCACCGGCUAACUCCGUGCCAGCAGCCGCGGUAAUUC